AGAAUCUGUACCUCUGGUUGACUAAAAAAAAGAAAGGCAAGGAUAAUUUAAUACUAGUAGGAGAGAUAAUACAGAUUAUUAUCAGAUUAGAUUAGAUUAAAACUCUAAUUCAAAGUAACAUUUCCCAUGAAACGAUAUUUU